AAUAUCUCAAACAAAUAUGAAAUAUGAAAUAUUCAUUUCCUAAGAUCUGACAAUAAAUUUGAAAAUCAACUAAUUAGAUCAUGAUUAGGGAAAAAAAGUUGUUAAUUACAACUUUGUGUCUUCCCUUUUACACUUUUGAGGUUGAUUAAUGGACUAUUAUUUUCUUAUUGGGUGUAAUCCUCUUUGUGUAUUCUUAAUUUGGUUAUCUUUUAAAAGACAGUUUAUUUUUUUGUUUCUAGCUUUUUUUUUCCAUUCUCUUACAUGAACUCGAUUUGGGAAUGUGGCAGAGUCUUAGAACUUACAAUAAAAUCAGAAGAGUAUUAAUUAGAUAGGGUAUUGGAUGAGCUGAUGAUAUCUACCUUAUUAUCACUGGUUCAUAAUUUUUUUUUAGUGCAGCAGGCCACCCUUCCAUAGACCGAUAUGGAUAGAGCAAAUUAGUAAUGUAUUUCAUUUUGAGAAUAUGUUGGACCUUGGCUCUCAUUUGAGGAAAGAUUUGUGCAUUUUGAUGGAUGUCAAAUAAAUAUUCCUGUAACUUUUACCUUUUGAUCCUUUUUUUCUCUAAAACUCAAAAUCCUUUUUAAUGUCUUGAAAUCUUGCUAAGCAUUUGUUGGGAGUUCUGUACAGUCCUUUCUUUUCGGUUUUCAUGAAAUGGAAGAAGGGAUGAGUAUAUUGAAAGUUUUUUUCUUUUUCUAUUGUGGAGAUAGCGAGGGAUAACAUUCAGAAAUAGUUGGUACUUACUGCUUUGUUGUUGUUUUUCUAUUGUGGAGAUAGAGAGAAUGAGGUGCACAUAAUGCAUUAUCCUUUUCUUACUGAAUCUAUAACUUAUGGUGAUAAUAGGUACUUUGUCUAGCUCUUAAAUAGAUCAUCAUUGUUGAUGCUUAUAUCAACAUUGUGCUUCUAUUUUGUGGAAUAUACAGAAAUGAAGUUUGACAUAAUAUAUAAAGAUGAAGACUUGUGUCGCUGGGAUGAACCGGAUUACCAUUAUCAUAAGUUUAAUUUUAUUUAUUUUUUUCAUAUGCUGACUAGGUACAGCUAUGUUUUGACAUAUUUAGUUUAAUAUGUAAUAAUGCCUAUGAAAUGUUGUGACAUCUCCAUUGAGAUUGAGGAAAAAUUAUAAACAAAAACAAUUUACUUAAGAUACUACAUGUGAUUUCAUACAAGGUGGUUUCUUUACCCUACUACUGGAACAAGUGAAAGAAAACAAGACAGAGCUUGCUUUUUGUGUGAGUUGCAUGUCAGCCUCUAAAUAUCAUUGAUAUUAGCUUCUUUCAGCUUGAACUGAUAAGAAAGGCAGAAGUGUAUUUGCUUGUCCUCGGUUUGCGACGACCAAGAGUUCAUGUCUGAUCUUGAUGUCCAUUUUCCCACUGCUUUUGGCCCAUUUGCUGAGGCAAAUGUUGACGACUCUGGGGCUGGUGCAAAGGAGUAUGUGCGUGUUUGUAUACAACAGAAGAACGGUAGGAAGUCUAACCACUGUAAAAGGAGUUCAGCUAUAACAAGAUCUUGAUGGACUUGAAGGAGUUCUGGUACAAUGGUAUUGUUAUCUAAGAUCCAGAACUAAGCCAGGUUAUUUAACUCGAAGGUGGUUAGAGAAUAAAUGUUUUGAAUUUCCUAGUUCAGGUACAGUAUCUCUAUGUUCUAACAUAUUGUACUUGCAACUAUUGUAUCAACCAAGUCAUAGGGAUUGGUUCAUUUUAUUUUUCCAUUUAACUCCAUGUUUCAGUUUUUUCUGUUGUGAUUAAGCAAAUAGGAAACUGCAAGACCAUUUCCAGUUUGUUUUUGUUUAUAAGUAAUACUUGUGACCUAGAUACAAGCCCAUGUUUAAAAAAGAGAAGAGUCAAUGAAGGUUGUUUUAAGUUGCAGAACUUAAAUAAAUAAUCAAGGGUGUUUCUCCUGUUUUAGAACUUGUAUGUAGGAUGGUGUGCAUGGGCAAGUGGGACGAGUGGCUUACUGUCUUGGUAUUAAAGGGUCUAAGUUAUCAGAGAUCACCAUUAAUGUACAAGAACAGCAGGAGCAGCAACGGCAACCCUUAAUAUCUUAAACUAUUUGGGAUUGCUAAGAAAUUAUCAUGUGUACCCAUCCAAUUGUUUUUCUACUCUGAUCAAUUGUUCACCUGUCUAGGAAUUUCCUGGAGUGAUUAGCUAUUCUUGUGUAUAUGUUGAUUUUGUGGUUCCUCAAUACGAUGCUAGCAUACAACAAUUUGCAUAGUUUGUGAUGAUUCCAAUAUUUUGUUCUCUCCAUGAUAUGGUGGAUUGUUGACUGAUUUUUGAGACAGACAUGUUGUAGUUUCUGAAAUAGUUAGAAAAAAUUUCAGCACACUGACUGCCUACACUCAUCCUUUAGACCAACUUGUUUAAUGCUGGGUUCUUCUUGUACAUUAAAUUUUGUCCCAAAUGUUGCUUUAGAUUCUAGAGAUUCAAUGACUUUCUACUGCCAACUUGUGUUUUUGGUGGAGGCUGGCAUUGUUAAGAAGGAAGACGAUAAGAUUCAUGGUUCUUAAUACUUAGUCGACUAGUUUGUCAUCUAAGCUUGUUUCAACUUGUUUAUGACAUGUUUGGAAUUCUCACCGUCGAAGACGCUCGAUCAAGAUAGCUCGUUUGAGUGACCAAUUAUGUAUGCUAAGAGAAGCUUUUUGCUUCAUGCUAAGAUUGUCACUUGAGUAUCUGAGUCACCAAUCUCUCUCCAGUAAUUGCCCUUCCAUUGUACAUUUGGAAUGCCAUGAAUGCAACUCACUAGCUAUGCUUGAUGUAAAUUGUUUUGUUGCUUCUAAUUUGAACGAAGAGCAUUGGGGCUAGUCCUACUUUGUGUCAUCAGUUGAAUCAAAUGGUGUUUUUGGUCUGACAGAAGUCAACAUCCUGUGGACAGCAACCAAAUGAGAUGUAUAUUUCUGGGUACAAUGUAUCAGUGGAUGCUCCUGAUAAUAUUGCUCAUCUGAAGGUAAGUGGACACCACGCAUCAUUUGAUUAAGUGUUGGAGGAGACACAAAACUCGCUAUGUGGAUUGAUCCCUUUUUCUUCUUUAUUACUCAUUCUUAUUUUGAAGGUACUAUAAAAAUUAUCAUGUGUACAUACACAACUAUGUCCAUGUUCUUUGCUUUUCUGACUAUGAUAUGUUAUCCAGUUAGGGUGAAUGACGAUGAUGUGUCAUUUAUGUGAAUGUUUAAAUAUUAUUGUUGACAAUGUGUCGAGUCUAUGAUAGUGUCAUUUUGGUGUCGACGUAUUAAUUGCUAGUCAUAGGUACCUUACAAGCCAAUCACGUAAGUGAUGGUACGUGUGAUAUGAUACGUAUUCUUUUUGCUUAUUAUAUUAUUUGGUAUUUUAUCAUGCAUGCUGUAUAUAUUAUAAUGUCCGUGGAUCUGUGCAAUAUGAAUCAGAUCGUGUUGAGAUCACGAUAAUGAGAUCGAUUCGCCUUUAAACACAGACCCUAAAUAAUCCUGGUCAUAGGUCACUUGAAAGGGGCAUCGAGAUGACCAAAUAGAUUGGUGUGUUGUACACUCGUCUAUAUAAUGGAGGCGGUUGGUCUUAUAGUUGCUCGUGUGGAGACACUAUGGAUACAGUGCAGGUGCUCAUUGAAGAAUGAGUUCACUGAUUAAUCCGCUUACAGAAUGUUGGAUAGUUGAUGAUACCUCAUUGUCAGACAGCGAUUCCGUCGUCUCAAUAGUCUGUCUGUUCCUUAGACUUAAGACACCAAUGAUGUUCUGUAUGAGUAUUUCACUCUUUGAUAUUAGUCUUAUAUGUCUGGAAGUUCUAUAUCUAGUAUAAUCGGUUAUCGGGAGUGACAAUCAACCUUACGAAGGUUAUUGAGUGUCGAUAGAGGAUUAUCCGUUCUCGGUGUCAUGAGAGGAAUAUCACAUGUGUUUUGCUUAAGCAAAUCCUUGGCCAUGGUCAUUCGGAUUGAGAGAAAAAGUUAUUCGGGAGAAUCCGGUUAGAGCAAGACUCGAGUAGAAACCGUAUGAGCUUAACAGUAUCACGUCCGGUAUAUAGUCUUUGAGAUAUUAGAUAGAUGAAGAACUAUAUAUAUGGUAACUGAGGAUAGACAUGUUCAAUGGAUUAGAUUCCCUUGUAUCAUCUAUGAACUAUGACGUAACGACCUAGUACGUCUGCAAUCGAUGAGUCGAGUGAAUUAUUAUGGAGAUAAUAAUUUACUGAGU